rnacentral:tRNA from 1 species
GCCUUCGUGGUGUAAUGGUCAGCAACACUCGGUGCGUAUUGGAAAGAUCCGAGGUUCGAAUCCCGGCGAAGGCA